UCAGGAGUGGCAGUUGAACCGUAACUCUAGUAAACAACAGACUGGGUGAAAUCGGCUAGGUUGAACUAGGAUGAAAACACUGUAGAUGAUAUCUUCCCUCCCCCUGCAAGAUGUUUUCCAAUAUUUUCCACAACAUCAGGCCGUUAAAAUCCCAAGGAUCGCUCUCAAGUGCCACCCAGAGAUGGGCUCCAGGCCAAACCCAGAGGGGUGGCAACCCUGAGCCCAAGAGUCAACAUCUCAUCUGUUUUCAAGAGCUGCCCGUGUUGCCAAGUGUGCAAGAGCUGAAGGGAACGUUUCAAGGGGUUAAACACCAACCCGAAGGAAAAAGUCUCUGCCAUGAAGGGGCAUCAGGUUCCUGAGCUACUGAAACACAGACCGCCCCCACUCCUCUCCCUUUCUUCCUUUUUUUAAAACACAGCACUGUUUGACAAAGGUGUCAUGUGAUAUUAAACAUGAUCUCAAACCUGUGAA